rnacentral:lncRNA from 1 species
UUCCUUUCUCUUUCCCAUUGUGAAUCUUCCUUCUCUUUCCCAUGGUAUUCCACGAAACCAUAGUGGUCCGAAACUGAUUUGUGAGGGGAUGUUCGGGUAAUUGAGGGGCACUGGCUGCUGGGUAAUUUGUUGGCGUGGAGGAGCUGUUGCGGCUGUGGUGGUCGUUUUGUGUGGUUUGGGAUGAGGAAUAGAAAUGGGAGGAGUUGUUGUUGUUAUGUUGUUUGUGGUGGUUGAUUCUGUGUUGUGGUUGAUUUGGCAGGGAGCUGUUCGACGAAGGAGAGAGGCUGAGAUGUGGGUGUGGAGUUUCGCCAUACUUGUCAGAUUCUUCUUUUUCUUCGAUGGAAAUUUUGAAGAGAAAAGAAGUAGAUGAAGUCAGAGAUGAAUUAUCCGAACUCUCCCUCUUUGGAACUACUCGAAUGACUCGCCGUAUUGUACUCAUAUUUACUAUCCACUUUUUUUUUUUUUUAGAAUUCGAGAUUCUUUGCUAUAAUAUUCAUGGGUCUUGUGUUGUUUUUUAGGUCAGGUUGCUGAUUUGCAUCCAAAAAUAAAGGAAGAAAUUAAAUGCAUGGCAUUUUCCGGACACACCAGUUGCAUACACUGCCCGCUAAAGUUUUAGAAAACUUCAGUGGAAGCACGAGCCAUAUGGUGUGUGAAAGUGAAACCUUCAAAACUCUCG